CUAUUUCAAAAAGCAACUUUUAUCCAUCAAAGCAGCGUUGGCCAACAUUUGGCACCAAUACUGGGAGCACUUAGCGCUAUCCUAAAGCAAUGCUCUAAGCCUAAAUAACAACCCACGCUCAAUUGCUCUACUGCAAGUUGUCCAAAACAAUCGAGAAUCCUCCGCCGCUGCUGCCCACGUAUGCCUGAGUAUAUAUCGACUUUUUCAUUAUGCUGCAGAGAGCAGCAGCAGCAGCAGCAGGAGAAGAAGGAAGCAAAGACUACAGUCCUCUGGUUCUGAUGACCUUAAAUUAAAUGUGCAGCACAUGAAUUAUGUAAGCUGUUUAAUAAAGUGAUUCCAUUUGCAUGCAACAGACUCGCACGCAUGCGCAGCGGGCAGUCCGGUCCGGUACGGGAACUGGCCGCUGGAAGAGACUUGCAACAACUUACUCACGAGGCAGAGGCAGAGGAGCAGAGCUG